GACGAACGCUGGCGGCGUGCUUAACACAUGCAAGUCGAGCGGUAAGGCCCUUUCGGGGGUACACGAGCGGCGAACGGGUGAGUAACACGUGGGUGACCUGCCCUCAGCUCUGGGAUAAGCCUGGGAAACCGGGUCUAAUACCGGAUAUGACUCCAUGACGCAUGUUGUGGGGUGAAAGCCUUGUGCGGCUGAGGAUGGGCCCGCGGCCUAUCAGCUUGUUGGUGGGGGAUGGCCUACCAAGGCGACGACGGGUAGCCGGCCUGAGAGGGCGACCGGCCACACUGGGACUGAGACACGGCCCAGACUCCUACGGGAGGCAGCAGUGGGGAAUCUUGCGCAAUGGGCGAAAGCCUGACGCAGCGACGCCGCGUGAGGGAUGACGGCCUGGUGUAAC
rnacentral:rRNA from 1 species